AGGGCUUGCUACACCUAAUUGAGUUAAAGAUCAUUCAACAACGUCAUUAUUGAUCCUGAUUGCUUUGCUAUAAAAGUACAAGGAAAUUAACCAUUAAGGUCAUUUGAAUCUUCCUGAAACCAUUUGUGUGAAGUCAUUGAGUUGAGCAUGGGCAGUCCUCAAAGAAGCUAAGGAAAAGGUGUUCUUUACGGUGGACUUAACUGAUCCAGCUGUUGUUGCGUAUGUGGAUUCCAAAAUGUCUACUGCUUACUCCCAAUUCAAGACUCGUCUAAAGAAGGAAUGGAAAGCAUUUGGCUCACCUGAGCUAGGAAGAGCAAAUUUGCCUAGUGCAGAUUUAUGGAAUGAGAGACCUAUCUCACAUUGGCACUGGCUUUGUGACAACAUAUACACCAACCAGUCUUGCAUUGUAUGGAUUCAUUAAUUUCUUUGGUUUUAUUAUUCAAUUAUUCUAACUGAACUUUUAUAGAUUUGAUUGAUAAUGAAGGAGAUUGCGGAAAAGAAUUCUGCUAACAGGUAUAUGCAACAACAUACUCACAGAGCUGGUGCACGACCAUACGUGCAACAUGCUUUGGUGGCCUCUAAGGUAAAAUUGAAUUAGUUUCAAGUUCAAAAGCCACUCUCAACUGAUUAUUAAUAUAUAUAUAUAUAUGUGUGUGUGUGUGUGUGUGUGUGUGUGUGUGUGUGUGUGUAUUUGUUUAAUGGAGGGUGGGAAGGAGUUGUCAUUCAUACAGAAUUGUGGAGAGAAACACAAGGAUAAUAAUCAUGAAUGGAUCAAUGAGGUUGCCAAGAACAAAUUGAGAAGAUGGAGGCUGAGAGGAAUGCCCUUUUAGAGAAGUUGUACAAAGAGGCACCCGAGGGUACCGCACAUGAUUCUAUCAAACUGACUUUGGAAGCUGAGUACCCAAUAAUGGCUAAGGAGCUUGGGAGGAAGGGUAGGAUGAUCCAUUGCAUUGGUAAUGUCCCUCACAUACGUUCUAACAUACGCAGAGUAUUUGCAUGGGGUGGCAACAAUUCUGAGGUAGCUGAAUUGCGUGAUCUUAUCGACCAACUUACCUUUAACAUGCUCAGUAUGAAGGAACAAAAUGGACUAUUGAAGGCUCAAGUGGAAUGUUUAUUGAGGCAAUCUCUUGGAUAGAUGAGUGAGGAUGACUUCCCCCAUCCUAGCACCAACUGCUAAGACUUUGCUUGAGUAGUUUGGGUGAGCAUUUGCUAGACUUUUGGUCUGAUGUCCCUUUUUGUGCAGUUAUAGCUUUUUACCUUGAUUAUGGUACUGUCUGGCAAUACUCAAGCAAAUCCAAUGUGUCCCUUUUGAGUAAUGCAAGCUGACACAUAACUAGUAUAUUAGAACUUUGGUGGAUUUACUUGAGUUUUGACCAUGUGCCUUACUCAGCUCAAAGUCUCAACACAUAUAGGACAUCUAAUUAGAUUAGUGCAGUGCUUCUAACUUUUGAUGUACAAAUGAAC